GAUGAACGCUAGCGGCAGGCUUAACACAUGCAAGUCGAGGGGUAUAGUUCUUCGGAACUAGAGACCGGCGCACGGGUGCGUAACGCGUAUGCAAUCUACCUUUUACAGGGGAAUAGCCCAGAGAAAUUUGGAUUAAUGCCCCAUAGUAUAGUUUAUUCGCAUGAGUAGAUUAUUAAAGUUCCAACGGUAAAAGAUGAGCAUGCGUCCCAUUAGCUAGAUGGUAAGGUAACGGCUUACCAUGGCGACGAUGGGUAGGGGUCCUGAGAGGGAGAUCCCCCACACUGGUACUGAGACACGGACCAGACUCCUACGGGAGGCAGCAGUGAGGAAUAUUGGUCAAUGGACGCAAGUCUGAACCAGCCAUGCCGCGUGCAGGAUGACGGCCCUAUGGAUUGUAAACUGCUUUUGUACGAGAAGAAACACUGCUACGUGUAGCAGCUUGACGGUAUCGUAAGAAUAAGGAUCGGCUAACUCCGUGCCAGCAGCCGCCGCAG
rnacentral:rRNA from 1 species